UCCUGCUUAGGGAUUUCACAUAUGAGUCUGAAAGGAACACACCCUUUAGUAAAAGGGCCAAAUCCCCAUACUACUCUGCUAUGGGCUGGUUUCUUUUAGCAAGUUACUAAAACUAGGUACAAGGUGCUGGGGUGUCACUAUUCAGCAAGUCUGCAGAAUCUGUGCUUGUGACAGCUCCCUGGUAAUUGGCUCACUCCCUGAUGGAACCACAGCUUUUAUUUCAGCAACAGUAAUGGGUUGUCCUGGACCCUGGCCUCCUGUGAAGACGUCUUUAUUUUGGAUCUGCCCUAUAUCUAGGGUAGUUGGUUCAAGACUUAGAGAAAUGACAGCUCUCUCCUACCAGAAUGAUGGGACCCAAACAGGAAAAAUUGGCCCAAAGAAAUAAUGGCUUCCAGCUUAGUGAAGCAGACCAAAGUGUGAAGAAGUUCUUGCAAACCAUGUGGCCAUUUCUACUCAGACUGGACAUACUGCAUCUGUUACGUGGUUUACAUCCACUUCCCUGCUGCAACUGCAUGCCCACAGCCCUGUGUCCUGCGUUGUUCUUUACCAUGUAAUGUACCA